rnacentral:rRNA from 1 species
AUUAGAGAGUUCUAUAAAACUCCCAAACCCAUGUGAACAUACCUUCUGUUGCCUCGGCAGGCCGGCGCCGGCGCCCACCGCGUAGCACCCUACCCCGUAGGGCCUACCCGGGACGCGCCGGCGGCCCCUGCCGGCGGCCCACAAAACUCUGUUUAGCAUAUUGAAUUCUGAACGUAUAACUAAAUCAGUUAAAACUUUCAACAACGGAUCUCUUGGUUCUGGCAUCGAUGAAGAACGCAGCGAAAUGCGAUAAGUAAUGUGAAUUGCAGAAUUCAGUGAAUCAUCGAAUCUUUGAACGCACAUUGCGCCCAUUAGUAUUCUAGUGGGCAUGCCUGUUCGAGCGUCAUUUCAACCCUCAAGCCCCCGUUGCUUGGUGUUGGGAGCCUACGGGGUUACCCGUAGCUCCUCAAAGUUAGUGGCGGAGUUGGUUCGCACUCUAGACGUAGUAGAUUUUCACCUCGCCUGUAGUGCCGGACCGGUCCCCUGCCGUAAAACACCCCUUAUUUCCAAAGGUUGACCUCGGAUCAGGUAG